ACACGUGCUACAAUGGCGCAUACAAAGAGAAGCGACCUCGCGAGAGCAAGCGGACCUCAUAAAGUGCGUCGUAGUCCGGAUUGGAGUCUGCAACUCGACUCCAUGAAGUCGGAAUCGCUAGUAAUCGUGGAUCAGAAUGCCACGGUGAAUACGUUCCCGGGCCUUGUACACACCGCCCGUCACACCAUGGGAGUGGGUUGCAAAAGAAGUAGGUAGCUUAACCUUCGGGAGGGCGCUUACCACUUUGUGAUUCAUGACUGGGGUGAAGUCGUAACAAGGUAACCGUAGGGGAACCUGCGGUUGGAUCACCUCCUU
rnacentral:rRNA from 1 species